ACUGCAGGCUGCAACUCGCCUGCACGAAGUCGGAAUUGCUAGUAAUCGUAGGUCAGCAUACUGCCGUGAAUACGUUCCCGGGCCUUGUACACACCGCCCGUCACACCAUGAGAGUUGGAAAUACCCGAAGCCUGUGAGCUAACUUAAAGAGGCAGCAGUCGAAGGUAGAGCCAAUGAUUGGGGUGAAGUCGUAACAAGGUAUC
rnacentral:rRNA from 1 species